rnacentral:lncRNA from 1 species
AGCAUUCAUACUUAAUUCGCUGAACAAUAAGAAAUCGCUGAUUAGGUUUUUAGUUGUGACUCAAUCAGGAUUUGCUCAAGACCGAGUUACUCCAGAGAAGAUGGACUAAGUUAAGGGACCAGCAGCAGGGAAAACCAGACACCAAAUGAAAGGGGGUUAACCACGGUGGGAGUGUUGUUAAAGAGAGAAAAGAGGAUGGAUCACCCUACAGAGGAGGACCAACCCUUGGGGGAGCCUUGGACAUAAAAACAGGCAGCGUUGUCUACUCUGGGCUUCAAAUCCGGAAAGAGAUGUGCAUUCCAAAAAUUAGGAGAAGAGUUCGAAGAAACUCUUUUUGUUUUAAUGGGGAGACAAAUUUAAUGACAGACUAGGCUUGACACACAAAAAUUUCUAGGGACUGGCUAGGGAGAACCUAAAAAUCAAAACAAAUUAGAUCAGGAAAGGAUUUGGCGCUGUUUGCUCCACCCAGAGGUGGUGGCAGAGGCCCCAGGAGCUGAUCAACUUGAAAGCUUACAGAUGACUAAGUAACAACUCAGACCCUUUCGCGUACCCUUUUCACCCUGAAGUGCCCCCAAAGAGAAUUUUCAUUUAAGACUUUGUUCCUUACUGGAACAUCAUUUUUUUGCCCUAAAUCUCUGGAACUA